AGAGUUGAUCCUGGCUCAGAACGAACGCUGGCGGCGCGUUUAAGCAUGCAAGUCGAGCGGCAAGGGCCUUCGGGCCCCUAGAGCGGCGGACGGGUGAGUAACACGUGGACAAUCUGCCCCCCGGCCCGGGAUAGCCCAGGGAAACCUGGAUUAAUACCGGAUGAGACGGGACCCGCGAUGGCGGGACCCGGGAAAGGCGCUGCGGCGCCGCCGGGGGAUGAGUCUGCGUCCCAUUAGCUAGACGGCGGGGUAACGGCCCACCGUGGCGACGAUGGGUAGCCGGCCUGAGAGGGUGGACGGCCACAUUGGAACUGAGACACGGUCCAGACUCCUACGGGAGGCAGCAGCUAAGAAUCUUCCGCAAUGGGCGAAAGCCUGACGGAGCGACGCCGCGUGAACGAAGAAGGCCGUGAGGUUGUAAAGUUCUUUUCGGGAGGGGGAACAACCGUGGCAGGGAAUGGCCGCGGGAUGACGUGAAUCCCGGAAUAAGCCCCGGCUAACUACGUGCCAGCAGCUGC
rnacentral:rRNA from 1 species